AUCCAGCUGACGAGUCCUAAAUAGGACGAAACGUGCAUCCUGGAU
rfam:Schistosoma margrebowiei strain Zambia genome assembly, scaffold: SMRZ_contig0002094